rnacentral:rRNA from 1 species
GAGUUUGAUCGUGGCUCAGGAUGAACGCUGGCGGCGUGCCUAACACAUGCAAGUCGAACGGAGUUUAUGAGGAAGAAGCUUCGGCGGAAUUCUUAUAAACUUAGUGGCGGACGGGUGAGUAACCACGUGGAGAACCUGCCUCUUACCGGGGGACAGCAGUUGGAAACGACUGAUAAUACCGCAUAAGCGCUACGAGACCGCAUGGUCCUGUGUGAAAAGAUUUAUCGGUAAGAGAUGGCUCCGCGUCUGAUUAGCCAGUUGGCGGGGUAACGGCCCACCAAAGCGACGAUCAGUAGCCGGCCGUGAGAGGGUGAACGGCCACAUUGGGACUGAGACACGGCCCAGACUCCUACGGGA